CCCCUCUCAGGGUUGCACCUGGAGAGUUUCCAGUACUCUACCAGUCUCGACUGUGGGAGGGAGAAUCAAAGGCAUAACCAUUCCAUUCCUAGCUUGGGCAGUGACUAGUGAAUGGAAGGCAAUCUGCUACAAGU